GAGAGGUAUUAGCAGUAGAAAGAGGGAAGUGCUCAUGCCAUUAUACAGAACACUGGUGAGACCUCACUUGGAGUAUUGUACACAGUACUGGAGACCGUAUCUUCAGAAGGAUAUUGAUACCUUAGAGAGGGUUCAGAGAAGGGCUACUAAACUGGUUCAUGGAUUGCGGGAUAAAACUUACCAGGAAAGGUUAAAGGAUCUUAACAUGUAUAGCUUGGAGGAAAGACGAGACAGGGGAGAUAUGAUAGAAACAUUUAAAUAUAUAAAGGGAAUCAACACAGUAAAGGAGGAGACUAUAUUUAAAAGAAGAAAAACUACCACAACAAGAGGACAGUCUUAAAUUAGAGGGACAAAAGGUUUAAAAAUAAUAUCAGGAAGUAUUACUUUACUGAGAGGGUAGUGGAUGCAUGGAAUAGCCUUCCAGCUGAAGUGGUAGAGGUUAACACAGUAAAGGAGUUUAAGCAUGCAUGGGAUAGGCAUAAGGCUAUCCUAACUAUAAGAUAAGGCUAGGGACUAAUGAAAGUUUUUAGAAAAUUGGGCAGACUGGAUGGGCCGAAUGGUUCUUAUCUGCCGUCACAUUCUAUGUUUCUAUGUUUCUAUGUUUCUAUAAUUGUAUCAAUGUUAUUAUAAAAUAAAAAUGAGUCAUCUGCAACAUGUAGAGGUUUUUGAAUUAUUCAAAGUCCAAGGAUAUGCAAAUAAUAUUCUUCAAAAAUUAAAUCUUCAGAGUUAAAGUAUUUUGUAGCCUGAACAUUCAUAAGAAGAAUAGGGGACCAAAAAUAGCUUAGGUCUGUGCUAUAAGGAAUGCAAAAUCGGACAGAUUUUGAAUAAUGAAGUCCACUGGUCAUUAAUCUACAUGAGAUAAAAAAUUAGCUCACGAAAAUCUUUAAUCAACCAACUGCAAUAUCAGGUCCAUGUUGGAGAAUUUAAAUUGUGUAGGAGUAGAACCAAGAGUAUAUUAUUUCAACCCCAGAAUUUGAGCAAUGUAAAAAAACAGUAUAUAUAGAAAAAUAGUAAAAGGACCAUUCACUCAUCAAACUGAAGUUCCCAGCCUAUGCAAAAAACUGCGCCAGAGCUCCCAACGAGAUUGCGAGAGAUCUUGUGACAUCACACGUCACAAAUGUCGGCACAAAGGACUCCAUGGAAAUGGUUGGUUGGAGUCUUUUGCCAAACACGGGCAGCACGGCAAGACUGUUAGUAAAUAAAAUAACAACAAAAUAUAGCUAAAUAAAGCUCUACUCUAAAUAGAAAUCUACAAGAUCGUAAUACACAUACAGGUAUACCCAGCAACAUUAUAAGAAAGCCUAAGAUAGACAAUGUAUACAUUUAGCCAUGGUUUAAUCCUUACCUAUAUACAUAUCACAAUAUGACUUACUGUCCCAUAUACAGAAUUGUUUAAAUGCACAGACACACCAAAAUAAUAGAAAUAAUCAGAAGCAAAAAAACAGAACAGAAUGGAUAAGUGAAUAUACCAAUAAUAUACAAAGACUCUGGGGAAACACACCUCCCACAAGCGUGAGUCUUACCGUCAGUCGGUACCCAAACUCAUAUAUUAUAAAAACCAGUGGCAUUCUAGUUUUACUUGUAUCCCAUAAAGUGACACAGUAUCCAAAAGGUACAUUAAUUUGACCUCUUUUUGUAAUAAAAUGUGAUUUGUAUUAACACAAUGUUUCAAUAUCCUUUCACUAUUUUCCUAUAUCUAUUGGUGAGUUUGUUUAUUACACUAAGUACAUUGUACAUUGAGAAAAGGACAGGAGUCACAAAACGUUUAUUUUUGGUGCUCCUAAUUAAAUAUAUUAAUUACUAAAUGGUCACUAAAUUUCACAUUGUGUUUUUUCUCUAUUUUUGCAUUGUAUUCUCUGUGCUGAUUUUUGGCACGGCAGUGAGCACAAUCCACAACUGUCGUUGUUUACAAUCUGAAGAUAUAUUUUUUUUUAAUUUGUCAGAGAACCAAUGAUCCAUCAUAAAAGCUUUAUGUACAUAUAGGUCUUCAUUGAAUGCACUUAAAAGAUACUGAACUCUGUGUAGGAAAGGUCAGGAGGAACUAGUUUAUAUAAAUUAUGUAACUUAUAGCAAUUAGUAACAUGGCUUGGCUUAUCUUGGACUCAUCUAAAUAAACCCUAUUACACUGGAAAAAUAGAAUGUAGAAUAUUAUAUUAAAAUACUGCUGGAUACUGCCAUGGAAAACCCCAGAUUUUGCUUUGUUAAAAUGACAUGCGUAACAAUUAAAUCAGAAUUACAGAUUUAUAUUCUAUAUAGCAUUGUUUCUCUCAUGAGCUUGUAUUCUGGAUUCCUGAAUUCUGCUACAAUUUUAUAUAGGUUUUGGGGAAAACAAAUAGCUGCAAUAUGCGUUUAUAGCUCACCUGCUUUGUUUUACCUCCACCAUAAUAAAAUACUAUGCUUCUAAGUAUUGCAGUGUGGUCAGAACUGGGGCACCCAUAAAGUCACCAUAGGGCGCACCAGCCUGGGAGGCACAAUGUCCAGGUGACCAGCUGCAGGGGAGAAACAUACAGAAGGCUGGCAGGAGAAACAGACACACAAGGGGGCUGAGAGGAGAAAGAAACACACAGAGGGGCGGUGUGGAGAAAGAGACACACAGAGGGGCUGGCAGGAGAAAGAGACACACAGAGGAAAGAGACACAUGGAGGGGCUGGGAGGACACACAGGAGAAAGAGACACAGGGAGGGGCUGGGAGGAUAAAGAAACACACAGAGGGGCUGGGAAGAAAAAGAGACACACAGAGGGGCUGAGAGGAGAAAGAGACACACAGAGGGGCUGGGAGGAGAAAGAGAUGCACAGAGGGGCUAGGGAGAAAGAGAUACACAGAAUGGCUGGGGGGGGGGAGAUGCAUAGAGGAGCUGAGAGUAGAAGAAGAUGCAAAGAGGAGCUGGGGAAGUAAUAGACACACAGAGGGACUUGCAGUAGAAAGAUACACACAGAGGGGCUGGGAGAAGAAAGAGACACACGGAAUGGCUGGGAGGAGAGAGAGACUUACACAGAGGGGCUGGGAGAAGAAAGAGACAAACAGAAUAGCUGGGAGGAGAGAGAGAGACACAGAGGAGCUGUGGGGAGAAAGAGAUGCACAAAAGGGCUUGGUGAAAUAGACAAGAUGCUGGGGAAAGGGAGAAAGAAACACACAAAGGUGCCAGGGAAGGGGAAAAACAGAGGAGUUGGAGGACAGAUAAUAUGAUGGGGUGGGAGACACAGAAAAUUGGCUUGGGGAGAAAGAGACAGAAAAGGGGCUGAGGGAAGAAAGAGCCAUACAGAAGAUCUGGGGAUGGAAAAAAGAGACACACAUAAGGGCUGGGGGAAGUAAGAGACAUACAAAGGUGAUGCAAGUAACACAAACGGAAAAAUGGUGGGGUAUAAGAUACAUUACAGGGAGGUGUAAGACACAAGAGGAGUAUAAGAUACACUAAAGUGUGUAAGACUAAAGUGUGUAAGACAGUUCUAAACUCAAUUUCACCCCUUACUUACAAUGGGACCUUGUAAAAUUUAGAAAGUAAAAUUAAUUACUUAGUCUUCUCUGUCAUUAGUGUCUGUGUUUAUAUAAUGCAUUCCUUAGCUCAGGCUCAGUGGUUAGUGAAAUUAAGGAAAUUAUGUGUCUUUGUUAUCCUGAAGAUAGCAAAAUGGAGUCUGCUCUGUUCUGAGUGACUCUGGCAAUAUACACUUUUAAUUUUUUUCUUAGCACAAAAUGUCUGCCGAUAUAAAUAUCCUGACAUGACAUGAGUGCACUUUUAGGCCACCAUAUGACUGCUUAGAGGAAAUCUAUACAUGGUCACUUUAGCCACAGGAUUUCCCCCAUUAUUUAAGGCAUUUUUUCUGCUUUUUUUUAAAUAUAUAUAUAUAUAUAUAUAUAUAUAUAUAUAUUUUACUGAAUGAGUAAUGGUGUUGUGGCUUAAGAAUUAGGCCAGCUAGUGAAUUUCUUGUCUGUACCAUCUAGUAAAUUCUUUGUCUGUACCACCUAGUGAAUUCCUUGUCUGUACCAGCUAGUGAAUUCCUUGUCUGUACCAGCUAGUGAAUUCCUUGUCUGUACCAACUAGUGAAUUCCUUGUCUGUACCAACUAGUGAAUUCCUUGUCUGUAUCACCUAGUGACUUCCUUGUCUGUACCAGCUAGUGAAUUCCUUGUCUGUACCAGCUAGUGAAUUUCUUGUCUGUAUCACCUAGUGAAUUCCUUGUCUGUACCAACUAGUGAAUUCCUUGUCUGUACCAACUAGUGAAUUCCUUGUCUGUACCAACUAGUGAAUUCCUUGUCUGUAUCACCUAGUGACUUCCUUGUCUGUACCAGCUAGUGAAUUCCUUGUCUGUACCAGCUAGAGAAUUUCUUGUCUGUACCAGCUAGUGAAUUCCUUGCCUGUACCAACUAGUGAAUUCCUUGUCUGUACCAGCUAGUGAAUUCCUUGUCUGUACCAACUAGUGAAUUCCUUGUCUGUACCAACUAGCAAAUAGAUUUCAAUAUCUGACUGACUGCAUGGAUUAUAGCAUUUUUGAAAUCCAAUUGUGUCUGUGUACUGUAGCAUAAUACAGUUCUCUAUUACAAUAUAUUUCUUAAAUAAAAUGAACUUUCAUGUUAAAAAGUCGCAGCACUUUAAGGUGUAAUAUUUUCUUGUGACAUUAAACUAAAAUAAUCAGUUCAAAGUCACAGAGUUGUGAUUAUUGCAGUAACAUUUUAAAUAUAAUUUGAUAAAAUAUUGGGAUUGUGGCAGAAUCUAAUGAGUAUCAUACCAAUUUAGCAGAAUUUUAUUAUCUUAUAAUUCGUUUUGGGUUCAUAUCUUGGAAAUGGCAAAUUACAGAAAGUGAAACGGCCAUUACUUUUUUAUGACAACCUUAUAAAAAGUAAAAUCUUAAUAGUUUAUUUCCAUGAAAUUGGAGUUCUAGUUAGCCCUGAGGUCAAUAAAGUGUUAUAAUAAAAUGGACUACCCAGUUCCAUGCUGUGAAGGUAAUCGGAUAAUUCCUGGGUGUAAUUUUCUUCAAUAUUGUAUUUGAGUAGGACAAUAAAGUCUAUUUAAAGCAAUACCUUAUUUUCAGAAUUCUAGAUAGAUUGGAAUAACAAUUAUAAACUAUCUUUUCUGUUGUAAAUGUUAAAGGGACACUAUAGUUCAUAAAAUAACUUUAGCUUAAUUAAGUGGUUUUGGUGUAUAGAUCAGUUCUCUGUGGUCUCACUGCUCAAUUAUCUGCCAUAUAGGAGUUAAAUCACUUUGUUUUGCAGCCCUAGUCACACCGCCCUGCAUAUGACCUAUGCAGCCUUUCUAAACACUUCCUGUAAAGAGUCAUCUAUCGUUUAUACUUCCUUUAUUCCGCAGUCUGUUUAAUUUAGAAUCUAGUAUCUCCUCAUCUGUUAAUAACCCACUAGACCUUGCAGGAAUCUCCUGUGUAUAAUUAAAGUUAAAUUUACAGAGCAGGAGAUAAAAAGUUCUAAAGUAACUUAACAUCUAAAUGCAGGCUGUGUAAGUCACAGCCAGGGGAGUUGUUAGGGCAUAUAUUAUAUUAUAUAUAUAUACGUUAUAUUGUAUAUAUUAUAUUAUUACAUAUUUUAUUCUGUUGAGAUUUUGGUAAGAUGCUUUCAAAUUCCAGCAGACAUUUCUUCACAUUUUUAUCAUGUUUUUCUCUUAAUUUACAAGGUGUACAUCCUAUAUUUGAAAGAAAAAAAAAUGUCCUGCUUUUUUAAUGUUUUAAUUUAUUUAUUUUAUACAUUGUAGAGAUUAGAUGAAUAAGUAAAUACCCAUUUGAAACCAUUGCAUCUGUGGGUACAUAACCAGUCUAAUCUGGAGCACUGUCUACCUUCUUUGCAUAUGGUAUUUGGAGGUAGAAAAUUCCAGCAGUUUAUUGAUGCUAAUCAGCCUAUAUUAACAGACAUGCUAUAGUUGAUUACUUUAUUAUUAUUAAUCACAUUUUGCAAUGAUCUGAUAAUUAUGAAAUUAUUCAAUUUUAAAACAUAAAAUCAAUUCGCAUUAAAGUGAUACAACACUAGAAUUAUCUUUGGAUGAUUGAUUUUGGUUUAUUAAUAUUUUAUAUUUGUUAAUUGUUAGUUGCUGUUUCCGAAAUAUAUUUAUCCAUUAACCGGGAGAAUUAACACAGGAAUUGUACAUUCUAUGCCCAGUUAGACAAUUCACUGCAAUUUUUCAGCUCCUUUAUUUUGGUCUAAAAUUUGCAACAUCCUUAUCAUUUAUUUCCAAUUCUUAGUAAAUAACUCAGAAGAAUGUACAAGACAAUUUUAUGUACUUGUGGUUCUACAGUUUGUAAUAUGAAAUAUGUGAGUUAAGAAAGUUUAAAAAAAAAGUUAAACUUUGGAAGGAUAGUUAUAAAGUCAUUCUUUUUAUAUAACACUGGGAAAGUGAGUUAUUUAUUUUUCAAUGUCAACAUGUUGUGAAGUAUUUAUAUCUUGAUGUCAACACGUUGUAAUAUUGGCUAGCGUAUCUGUGUGAUAGGUUAAAGCACAGAAUAUAUGGCUUGCUACAGUUACAUAUUUUAUGACGUUAGACUUGAAACAUAGCGAUUCAAAAUGUUUUAUCUUGAAUGCCAUUGGCAGAACAUUAAAAUAAUUAUUUUAACAGCCACUGAAAAGAUGAUGCAUAUUUUCAUUGGAAAUUACUGAAUGUUAGAUCCUAUCUUGUGUUGUUGAGAGGUAGGUGUAGGUGAAGUUAUUAAAGAUGUCUCAUCUGUACUGACACAUCACUUUCUGACAUUUCAUAAUUCACAGUUAUAUUAUCUCUGUAGGGAUUGAAAGGACUAAAUAAUCGGUCCAGGAAGAUGUCACUGUAGCGGAAGGAUAAUGGAUUUUUUUUAUUUUAUUACCUAAUGGUUAAUGCUUAUUAAAAAAAAAAGUAUUUAAGGGGAAUAUAGUUUAAAAAAAAUAUUUACAUUUCUCAAAAAACAAACAAAUCAAUGGCGUUACUUAUCUUAUUUUAAUAUAAAUUGUUAUCAAGGGAUUGAAAGUUACCUUUACAAGGAAUUAUAUCACUAUGCAACAUAUGAGUUACAUUAGAAUUUAGUUUUUCUAUUUUGCAUUUAAUUUGUUAUUCAUAUUUCAUUUCUCAUUGCUGUUCAUUAACUUGAUAAGUGUUUGAAGGCUAACGUAAAUGACUGUUUAAGUCAGGUCUUUUCAUGCUGAACUGCUUUCAUUUUAUCACAGGUAUGCAUGAGGGCUGAUACAUUUCGCUUUAUGAUGAAGCCAGGAAGCCGACAAGGGCAGACUCAGGUAUUCUGUUUUGGAAUUCAUACAAAUAUGCUUGUUUCAGGGACCGAAUAAUUUGUUUUGUGCGCAGACUGUAUAUUUUGUCACCUGUUAAGGAUUGUAUACAACAGGAUUCCAGGAGAUGUGGUUGCAUAAUAUCAGAAGCAAGGGAAAAACACGUAGCAAAUUUCUAGUAGAUAUCUCUUUGUUUGUGCUUAUAUAAAAAUAGGGAUAUAUACUAAAGAACCUACAUUUAAAAAAAUAUUUAUUUCGAAAGAAAAGAUAAAGAGAGUGUGUCAGGUUGCUAAUGAAAAAUGGAAUGGGGGUAACCCCUACUGGAUAACUAACUAAAAAGAAGAGGUACAAGAAAACCUGGAGGCUACAAUAAAUCUAGAUAUUAAACCUACAGGUUACUAGUACAAUUUCAGCAACCCAUAAUCUGAUAAAAUAUAACUUUAAAUAAUAAAAUAUUAAAAUGAAAAAAAGCACAGUCGCUGUGUGAAGAAAUAGUUAGAGGAGAGAGAAACCAUAAUAAGGAUAUUUAUCAAAGAGUGUCACUUAGAUCGAAUAUUGGCACAGGUGAUGCGGGAUUGAGGGGUUAAAGCGUGGUCUGAAUGUAAUAGCCCAGUAUCACCACCCCACUCUUAUCACCCAGUAUCACCGUAGUGACAAACACCUCCAACUUUCGGUUUAAACUUUCUAACCAAACGUCUAAGCACAGUCCGAAUAAAAUAAAUAAAGAGGAAAGUCACAGCUGCAGCAUCGUCCCUGUCCAACACCUCCACCCUCCACUAAACUAGUCCCGACGCGCGUUUCGCCGAAAAUCGGCUCUUCCAAGGGAACCGAGUGUAAGUUAAACCGUUGUUUAAAUAUCCCGCCCUCUCUCAUGAUUGGCUGCUGAUCUUGCCCAAGUGGGGGGGGGGGGUGGAGCCUAGCUCCUUCCACAGUUAACCCUGAGUGGCUCGGUGUACUGUGAAGGAGAUAGGUUAAUGUGAACAAUGUAAUUACAAAUCUAAUGUAUUAAGAUGCUCUAAUAUAAUGUGAAUCAACAAAAACGAACAGUAUAGUCUUAGAUGAUCCAGCAAAUAGUAUCAAGAAGAAAAGUGGGUAAAAUAAACUUAAAAAUCCCUGACCUACAUCUGACUCUUUGUAAGGAGAAAUCUAGUGAGAAAGAUAGUUGAUAGUUAUGAAGCAACAUUGUUGUGCCCAAUAUGUUGCUCUUUUCUCUGUGUUUCCUAAUUGAUAGUGCAAACUUAUUUUCUCCUGUCAGGCACCAAAUAGUAUCUCAUGGUGGUUCUAAAAGUCCUGGAAAAAAUUAACAAAAAUAGAAAAAAAAAAUCAAAGUAAAUGUCAGUCCAUAGACAUGAAAAAUUACAGUUAUAAUCAUAACUCAAACCCCUAGUUUCUUAGGUAUAUCUACACAUUCAAAAUUUAUAAUAUCAUGGCUAAAUGUUGCAAAAGCAUAUUUAAAUUGCUGAUCAUAUAGAUAUUUAACUGAGAUAUCAGCGAGAGAGAAGCCCAUCCCAUAUCUUUAGGCAUGAAUGAACGGAAUAAAAUUAAACUCCUCAUUUAGUCCUUUAGGGUAUAAAGUUUGAAAUGAGUAGAUCCAGCGAGAGUCAGCCUUUAGUAGAGAAAUAUUGAUAUCUCCCUUUCAAUGAUUCUGAAAUAUUUUUUGGGUCACCUAAAACUUUAAUGAACUGGAUUUAGAAGCAUGAUUUAGUCGUAUAUGUUUGGCAAUAGGCGUGUCAAUAUGUGGGUUUGUGAUGGAAUUGAUAUGUUGUAGAAUCCGUCGACGUAAUUGUUGGUACGUUUUGCCAAUGUACUGUAAUCCACAUUCACAUGUUAUAAGAUAAAUAACAUUCGUAGAACUGCAGUUGAUAAAAGAAUUGACAACUAUGUCUUUGGAUGUUCUUUUAUUGUGCACAGUUUUAGAUGGUAAAAUAAAGCUCCAGGACUUACAGUGGCCACAUUUGAAAAGACCUUUGGUUUGGAGCCAUGUAGAUGUAGUUUGUGCUGGUUUUAAAUGGCUGUGUGUUAAAUGAUCUGCCAGGUUUCUUGCUCUUUGAUAGGUCAUUGAAGGCUGAUUCGUGAUUGUGUUCUUAAGGCAUGCAUCAUACUGUAAUACCGGCCAGUUUCUACUCAACACCUGUAGUGCCUGAUUCAAAUGUCUAUCGUAUGUACCUAUAAAUCUCGUGACGCCUGGAGUCGUUGAUGUAUUUUUAGGGGGUCUGUGUAAGCUCUCUGAUCUAUCAACAGCUUUAGUUCUUUGAUAGGCUUUCUUUAAAAUUCUGUUAGGGUAGCCUAGGCUUUUAAAUCUGUUUCUUAGUUUCUUUGCUUCCUUCUCAUAGUCUUCCUGGUUUGAGCAGUUCCUUUAUGCUCUAAGACACUGGCCAUAAGGUAUUGGCCUUGACAUGGUGUGGAUGGAAUCUUUGCCAAUGAAGCAAACUGUUAGUUGCGAUGGGUUUCUUAAAUAAUGACGUGGUGAUUUUCCCAUCGUCUAGAAUGUUAAUUGUCAAGUCCAGGAAGACCAGUUGUCUCUCGUGUAUGACGUGAGUAAGUUGGAGAUUAAUUUGAUUUUCAUUUAGUGUAUCCACCAAUAUCUUACAUUUUAAAAAAUAUACACAGAUCAAUUCUGAACUUCUUCAGUAGACCGACCACUGUAUAUCCCAAAGAAACCAUUCCUAUCUCAAUAGAAAGUUAAUCUCUUGUAAUUAACAUUCUAGCUUCUACAACAAAACAAUCUGUCAGAAUUCCAGGACACAGCAAUCUAAAAAGCUUAGAAUGUGACAUUUCAGCUGACGAGAUAGCUGAGGCAAUUAAACUUAUGCCAUCUGGAAAGGCCCCUGGUCCUGAUGGAUUCACUAUUUCAUAUUGCAAAGCCUUUCCAGAAAUCUUAAUUCCCCAUAUGACAAAAUUAUUUAAUUCUUAUGAGACCAAGGGGAGGAUGUUGGAGGAGUCCUUGUGCGCACAAAUAGCCACCUUGCCAAAGCCGGGGAAAACUCCUGAUAGGUGUCCUAAUUUUAGGCCCAUUUCUCUGAUAAAUAAUGAUUUAAAAAUGUACUCUAAAGUUUUAGCAAACAGGUUAGCUAAAUUAAUCUCUUUAUUAAUUAAUAGUGGCCAAGUGGGUUUAGUGCAAGGGAGACAGGCACCGGAUGGGACCAGAAGGUUUAUUGAUUUGAUUCAGCAAAUUAAUUCGAUCAAAAUGCCUUCUUUGCUUCUUUCAUUGGAUGCAGAGAGGGUGUUUGACAGAAUACACUGGGGCUAUUUAUGGAGCACUUUACGAAGAUUUAAUAUCCCUUUGUUCUUUGUUAACACAAUAAGGGCGUUAUACUGUGACCCUUUGGCCCAUGUCUCAGCCUCUGGUUUUAAAUCCCAUACUUUUUCUCUCACUAAUGGGACGAGACAGGGCUGCCCUUUAUCUCCAAUUCUGUUUGUCUUGGCCAUGAAACCCCUGGCUGAACUGAUUAGGAAGACCCCAGAAAUUGAAGGAAUAACUAUUAAAGGAUCCACUCACAAAAUUGGUUUAGUUGCUGAUGAUAUAAUUCUGGCACUCAAAAAUCCAAAAAAAUCCUUACAAUAUCUUAAGGAUAUUUUACUUCGAUUUGGAGAAGUAUCGUAUUACAAAUUAAACGAGUCCAAGUCUCAGGUCCUCCCAUUCCAUAUAAAUCACUCAGAAGUUACCACUCUUAAGAGAAUGUAUUUGUUCGAUUGGAGAAAUGAUUACUUAGAAUACCUAGGCAUUAUUUAUGAAAAAACUUAGUAAGUAUGCAUAUUUAUAGCUUAAGGAAAGCAUGGUCAGAUCUACAAAAAGAGAUGGAGAGAUGGGGCGGGAUGGAACUCUCAUGGCUAGGGAGAAUCGCAUCUAUUAAAAUGACAGUUCUUCCAAAAAUCUUAUAUUACUUUAGGACUAUACCUCUAUCUAUUCCAAUAUCUUUUUUCAAUAAAAUCCAUUCAGUAAUGUUAAAAUCUGUUUGCAGGAGCAAAACUAGCAGGAUAAAGCUCACCUACCUGCAGCAUCACAAAUCCGAUGGCGGUGUUGGGGUACCGGACAUCUGCAAGUACUACUUUGCUACUAAUGCUGCAGUGGUGUGAGCUUUAAUAGUCAUUCUAGCAGGCCAAGAUGGAUGGAAAUAGAAGAGUCAAAUAUUCUUCCGUUUCGACUUACGGAAUUGCCCUGGCUAUGUCCUAAAAAAAGACCUAGCGCCACUAAACUAUUUUUAUCAACAAAAAACACCCUUAAGGCUUGGGACGUAAUUUUUAAAAACAACAACCACACUGCAAGAGUGUAUAGAGCAAUGCCAAUUGAAUUAUUGAAAGACCAUAUGCCCUUUUUGAAUCUAGAUUUAAUGAAAGGGUAUCAUAUAACAAACAUAGAUAGUUUUUUACAUGGUAAUGCCAUUCUUCAAUUUGAAAAAUUAAAACUUAGACACGGACUAACGAAUGAACAUAAAGAAGAAUGCAUGUUUAUUAUUGAACAAUUGAAAGAAAUAUGUAAUGUACCAGACACUGAUAAAAACUAUAAAUCACUAGAGUUAACAACAUUAGAAAAAUAGUUUUUGUAUAAUCCAAAUUGUAAGGGCAAACUGAAACACAUGAUCUCUUGGGAGACGGAGCUAAGUACACAAUACGAGCUUUACGAGUGGUUCAGUUUUUUCAAAACAUUAAAAGGGAUUUCGUUCUGUACCGACCACUUUGAGAACCACUACAAAAUUCUAUACUGCUGGUACUUGGCUCCAUCCAGACUGCAUAACAUGAAUAACAUGUAUUCUGACCGGUGCUGGAGGGACUGCGGGGGUUUGGGAAAUAUGGCUUAUAUAUGGUGUUAUUGUCCCAAAAUUGCAAAGUACUGGAAAAUGAUUCAUGAUCUAAUUGUUAAAGUAGAUAGAACUAUCGCUAUGUUAACUUCGGAGCUUGCAUUAUUUAAGAAACUCCCCUAGUCCAUUAGUAGAAUUGACAAAAUAAUAAUAGGCCACAUCUUAAUUGCUGCUACCUCAUGCUUGCCAAGAUAUUGGAAGACAAAAUAUACACCAUUAGUUAGAGAGGUUUUUAACUUGGUUCUUGACAAUAAAGCAUACGAAUUGUCACAUAGGAGCAAUAUGCACUCUUUCACAAAACUAAAAUCUAAUUGGGACAAGUGGGAAGAAGAUGUUAAAAAAAGUCUAUCAUUUAUAAAUAGCUGAUUUAUUGUUGAAUUGUAUCAUUGCACAAUUUAUAUUAUGUACAUUAGUAUUUGUAUUAGUAUAAUGAAUGGACACCCUUUCCCACUUCCAAGUUUUCCUUCCCUCACCUUCCCCUAAUAUAAUGUUUGUAUAAUUUGUUACACAUUUUCAAAAACUCAAAAAUUCAAGUGUGUAACAGCAGUAAAACAAGUACAAAAUAUACAAUAAAAAAUAAGCAUUUUUCGUCCGAAUGGACUUCCUCAGGGACCUCCUGGUAUUUGAGUAAAAACAAGUAAAAUCCCUCCCCGAGGGAAGUAAAAUCCCUCCCCGAGGGAAGUAAAAUCCCUCCCCGAGUCCUUUCUUUUAUACUGAUGGUGGAUUCUUCUUAUUGUGCUUCCCAGGGUGUCAGUUUCUUCAUACAGCUGUAUGUAAUAAAAUUUCCCGGGCUCUCUUGCUUCCGUGAUGUCACUUCGGCAAAUUUGAUUACCGGAAAUUUGAUUACAUACAGCUGUAUAAAGAAACUGACGGUUUCUCGGGGGUGGGAUUUUAUUGCUUAUUUUUUAUUGUAUAUUUUGUACUUGUUUUACAUACUCAAAUACCAUAAGGUCACUGAGGAAGUCCAUUCGGACAAAACGCGUAGGACCUGGUACCAUAACAGCCUAUAUAUACAUAUAUUUAUUUUAUACUUUUAAAUAAAGAAGGAUUUUUUUCUACUCCAUAUCCUGAGUUCAACUUCGUUUUCCUGUGAAUAGAAGCAGUGAUUCUGCCCACCACCUACAUCAGGGGAGGCACCCAUGGGGCGUCAUUUAUUCAAUUAAAUCUAUGAUUUUUAGAAUCAGGGCUACAGUUGCAUGUUUGAAGGGUAAUGAAUAUAUGCCAGAUGAGAAAGAGAGAUAUAGCAUUUUAGUAAUAGGCAAAGCAAAAGAAGGAGACAGAGUACGGAUGAGAUGUGAGGGAAUAGGAUAAAGGAUGCAGGUGGUGGGGUGGGAGGACCAGAGUAGAUCAGAAACCUCUUCUGCUGUAGCAGGUGCAAAUGAACAUAGAACAGCGGAGAAGGGAGUGAGGUUGGGGGAAGUAUUGUAAGGGGAAGGAGAGAUAUGAGAGAUCUUGUCAGUGAAGUGAGUUGCAAAGUUUGUGGCGGUUAAGUCGGUAGGAGGAGGAGGAGCAACAGGGCGAAGAACAGAGUUAAAAGUGUGAAAUAGUCAUUUUGGUUCAUGGGAGAGUUAUGAGGAUAUUGAAGUAAUAUACUUCUGCAGAAGGUCCAGAUUAAAAUUGAACAUAACUCCCCACCUGACUACCACCUUAUCUCGCUACUAUCUUUUGUUUCCAAGAUCCUUGAAAGACUUGUGUAUGUGAUAUUGUCAGACUUCCUCUAGUCCAAUUCUCUGCUUGGCCCACUUCAGUCUGAUUUCCGUGCUCAGCACUCUGUGGAAACAGCUCUGACCAAAGUAUCAAACCAUCUACUCGCUGCAAAAUUUCAUGGUCACUACUCUAUCUUAAUUCUCCUUGACCUUUCCUCUGCUUUUGAUACUGUUGAUCAUCAACAGCUUCUUCUCAUCCUCCAUAUCUUGGUCUCCUGGUGUUCCUCCUACCUCACCUAGCGUUCUUUCAGUGUUUCUUUAUCUGGCUCUGACUCUUCCUCCCAACCUAUCUCUGUUGGUGUCCCCCAAGGUUUAGUCCUUGGUCCCCUGCUGUUCUCGAUCUAUACUGCCUCCCUUCAUCAGCUCUUUGGCUUCCAAUAUCACUUCUAUGCAGAUGACACUCAAAUCUAUCUGUUCUCCCCUGAUCUCUCCCCCACCCUCUUGACUAGUGCCUCUGACUGCCUCUCUGUUAUUUCAAACUGGAUGGCUGCCCAUUUCCUUAAACUCAGCUCUUACAAAACAGAACUUCUGGUCUUUCCUCCCUCAAGUGUUGCUAUUCCUGUUUCUGCCUCCCUCCACAUUACUGGUGCUACCAUCAGCUACACCACAAAGGCUCACUACCUAUGUGUUCUCUCUCCGACCUCUCUUCAUGCCUAAUAUCCAGUCGGUCGCCAAAUCCUGCCGCUUCCAUUGCAAAAACAUUGCGCACUUCCACCCUUACUUAUCGCCAGAUGCGGCUAAGGUGCUGGUCCAUGCCACUGUUCUCUCUCGCCUUGACUACUGCAAUCCGCUUCAACCGGGGAUGGGUGGUGGGAGGGAGAGGAGACCUGCAGGGCCAGGAAAACAGACUUUCCUGGCACUGGAGAGUCCCUUUAAAUGGUAUGUGUGCUAUAUAAAUGGUAUGUGUGUAAUAUAAAUGGUUCUUGCUAAAAUACAGCAAAACUGAAAAAUCUGGGACCAAGAAAGAUGAUAACAGCAUAAGAGAAAGAUUAAUCAUUAAGGGAAACAAAGACAAUGUGGUACAUGUGGAAAGACCUGAAAAAAGCAAAAUGGCAUGCCUCUCCAUAUUCCAAAUGGGCAAAGUGGGUGAUUUUAAUUUUAUAGGUGUGAGCGUGGGUGAGAACAGUGGUGAGGGUGUUCUGAGAAAAGUUAGUUACUGAUAACAAUUUAGUGAAAUAAAAUGUAGUUUAGAACAAGAACAAUGUAUUUAUUUACACAGACUGAUUUCUAAGCACAUUCAUAGUUUAAAGCAGUGGUAGUCAACCUUUUUCCACUUACCGCCCACUAAUGCAUCUUUCUUGAUGGAAAAAUUUCCUUACCGCCCACCAGUUUUCGCGCAAGCGCGGAAUAUUUUUUAGAAAGGAGGGUGUUUUAAAAA